UUCUGGUUUUUAUUUCCUUUUUUUACUUGAAAUACCUGAAAUGGUAUUUCCGCCAUGAGAAUGACGUCAUGUGUUGAAUUCUUCUUGCAUCGCAGAAAUUAUUUUUGAUCUAGUUGCAUUUUUGAUUCCAAAGAAAAAUGUUCAAAGCAAGUGCUGCCAUGUUUUUCUCAACGAUUCUCGUCGCUGGGUGCAGUGCUAUACUUUCGGAUUUUGUGAAGGAUUUCAAUUUUAUCAACAUUAAAAAUGAAGUCGAAAGAUAUGAUUUUGAAUACACAUUGGACAAUGGUAAAACCUUUCAUGGAAAGGCGCACAAAUUGAACAUUCCAUAUUCGAACAUAUUUUUAAUGAUCGGCGACAAAGACGCCAUUUAUUGGGCUGACCUUGAGUUCGAUGAACUUAAAAUGGGAGAAUCAUUUCCAAUAGCUGCGCGAGCUGUUCAAAGAGACGACGAUAAAUUGAUCUUCAAAAACGAUUUCACUCAAUAUGAGAUUUCGCUUAAAACUGGUGAACUGAACCUCGCACCGUACAGAACGAGUUGGAAUAUAGACCAUAUCUGUUUUACAAAAGCGGAAAAGGAAACAUUAACGUUUCAUUAUGUUUUAUCUCAUGUUUUUAUUUUGUUUCAUAUUGUUAACCCGGUUGGUGAUUUCCUUGAGAUAGAAUAUCGUCGAAUAAUAACUCUAGGAAGUAUAACGGUACCACAGAGAAUGAAGCAGAUGAUGCGCAUGUGCAAAUCGUUAGAUUAACGGAAUAUAAUCAGUUCAAAGAUGUAUACAGAAUAAAUUUCACAGAUAGUGAACUCAAUUGCGAUGACACUUUUUGCAAAGGCAUUUCCGACACGAUUGAGUCCAGCUCUUAUGAUGGCUGGUUCAUAUUUCCUUUCAUGAGCCAAAUUGACCCAAACCUUCUGAAAUCAUUAACAGGAUAAAUCGUUUGUGUUCGACUGAAUUAGUAGCUGAAUCAAGUACUAAGCCAGCUAUAAGCUGAAGGUUUAUUUGCUCUACAGAGUUCUAUCUCAGCCUUUGUAGACUAUAGCCUAUUUUAUCUUUUCAUUGAAAAUAAAAUUAAGUUCAAUAAAUUAUUCAUUAUAAAAGAUUUUUUUGAUUGAUUCAAAAUCCAAACAACAAAGAAGAUGUAGAAAUAAAAUUUUGAAUAGAUCUAUAGGUGAGAUUGAGAGUAGCGUAUGUUUCGCUGAUGUUGUUAUAGAAGAGACGAGUAUGUUUCUUUCAACUUAAAAAUUGUUUAAAGCGAGUAUGUUUACUUUUGAUAGGUAGUCGUGGUUUUCCAUGGUUUUCGCAAAAUUGAUAAGAGAAAUAGGUUUGGUUUCUUCGGCAAAGUUGCAGUACUCGAGGUCUUCUAAGAGAAAACUUCUUUGCUGACGAAACCAAAUCUUUAUAUGAUCGCCUUUGCGAAAACGGUGAAAAACUUCGACAACCUGUGGCAUGCAAAUGAACUCUACUUCAACGCCAACAGAACCAUCAAAAAAACAUACUCGCCGCUUCAAAAAUGCAAAUCAAAGAGAAAACAUACUCUA